CUGUCGAUGCGAGCUUUAUUGUAGAAUAGCAAUGUCAGACUUUGUGUCUAACGGGAACACCCCGGCUUCUUAUAUAGGAUAAUUCAGCACCAACGGGACGGAUGUUGACCUCCGUCUGAACCGUGUGGAGCAGAGCUGCAGACCAGCAGCUGAUGAGGCGGCAGGUCGGCCGCAGGCGGCACUCUCGAUGGUCUCCCCCACCAUGAAGGCGGUGGUGGAUGCCGUGUGGGCGGUGUGGAGCAUCGGCGCCUCCAUCUAUGACUACAUCCACACCAACGCCAUGGAGGAGCGCAUCCACGCCCUGGAGAACGUCAUAACCAUCCAUCAGUGUGUGAUCGGGCUGCUGUCUGCCGGCGUGCUGGCUCUCUUCACCUACAUCCUCUUCAAGAAGCUCUGACCCGAUGACCUGAAGAGGAAAACUGAUGCUGAGUGUGAGAAAGGAGAGCAUUCUGGGAUGGUGGAGGAUACUUGUAGUUUUCCGCGGUGAAAGCCAACAUGCAUGUCUGCACAGUUUGCUACGUUGGAAGGAGAGAACUGUGUAAAAUAUUGCCAUCCACAUUGAAAGCUUUUUUAUUAUUUCAUCAUCACUGCAGGAUUUUUAAAAGCAGUCGUUGAUUUUC